ACAUACGACCAUAGGGUGUGGAAAAUAGGGCUUCCCGUCCGCUCAGCCGUACUCAAGCCACACGCCGGUGAGUUAGUAGUUGGGUGGGUGACCACCAGCGAAUCCUCACUGUUGUAUGUUA
rnacentral:rRNA from 1 species